UGUAGCAUGUGAGACAGCCUGGUGUGA
rnacentral:piRNA from 2 species